UACGAAGGGGGCUAGCGUUGCUCGGAAUCACUGGGCGUAAAGCGCACGUAGGCGGAUUGUUAAGUCAGGGGUGAAAUCCCGGAGCUCAACUUCGGAACUGCCUUUGAUACAGCACGUCUUGAGUCCGGAAGAGGUGGGUGGAAUUCCUAGUGUAGAGGUGAAAUUCGUAGAUAUUAGGAAGAACACCGGUGGCGAAGGCGGCCCACUGGUCCGGUACUGACGCUGAGGUGCGAAAGCGUGGGGAGCAAACAGG
rnacentral:rRNA from 1 species